rnacentral:rRNA from 1 species
UACGGAGGAUGCGAGCGUUAUCCGGAAUCAUUGGGCGUAAAGGGUCCUGAGGUAGCCUGCCCAGUCCACUGUGAAAGAUCGGGGCUCAACCCCGAGGGUGCGGUGGAAACUAGCAGGCUAGGAUACGGUAGGGGCAGGGGGAAUUCCCGGUGUAGCGGUGAAAUGCGUAGAGAUUGGGAAGAACACCGGUGGCGAAAGCGCUCUGCUGGACUGCAACUGACACUGAGGGACGAAAGCUAGGGGAGCGAAAGGG